AGAUUUCAUGACACCCUCCGAGGGGCCUUUGUCAGCUACCGUUACCGCAGGCCACAGAGGAUCACCUGUGUAUGCCUUAGGAUGUACAAAUCACGUUUAAACGGUUUCCUCAGACAACUGCAGGUCUCAGACUCUACGGCACCUGGAGAUAGGAGGCUUAGGUAUGCUGAUGUUGAGACCAGCACCAAAUCCUGACCUCUCCAGUGGGGCCUAAAGGGCUGGCUGCAAUGCUGAAGGGAACCACAUGAGGGCGCCAGAACCACACUGGUGACAUCCUGCCACCCAGGCCGACCAAGGCCCCUUCAAAAUUUUCUCCUAGAGAGGACACAAUCACGGCAGGUCUAGGAUGCUCCCAGUCAGGAGGGAAUUGGAUUAUAAACUCUGUCCGAGAGGAAUCCCCACCCCCACCUCAGUCUUCCCAGAGUCACACUGACCAAGGUGACCCUCUGAACUGGUCCCCCUUAAGAACCUGAGGCAUGUUGAGAUGGAAUUGCUGUGUAACUUUGAGCAAGUCCCUGUCCCUCUCUGGGCCCCCAUUUCCAGCCUGCACUGUUGGAUUUCUGUGCAGGGAUGCCGUGGGGCAGGCAUCUGACUGUUCACUGCUUCCUGUCGACUAUGGUUGAAGAUGUUUCCUGUGCCCAGCUUCCUGCUUCAGGUCACCAGCCUGCCAUAGACCCUUUUGUAUACUCAUUGUUAAGUUGAACUGAAACAGAAAUAAAACCCUCCGUAGAA